rnacentral:ribozyme from 1 species
AGUGGUUUGAGCCACUAUAAAUAGCACGUUAAGCUCAAAGCGUCCAAGGAGUUAUCCGUUGGGGUCGUA